AUGACGGCGAAGGAACAAGAAGACCUGGAGUUCCUGUGGAAGUGGCGCAAGUACCUGCUGCUGCUGGCCACACUGGUCGCCAGCGUCACCUACGGCGCCGGCCUCAACCCGCCGGGCGGCGUGUGGUCCGAGGACAACUACGCCCCAGCGCGCCACGUCGGCGCCGUCCACCCGCGGGCGCGAGCGCCGGUGUCCCCGGAUGCGGCGGUCUACCCGAACCGCGUCGGCGACCCGGUGCUCGUGUCCACCUACUCGCGCAGGUACAAUGCCUUCUUCUACUGCAACGCCGCCGCCUUCGUCUCGUCCCUGGUCGUCAUCACGUUCCUGCUGGACCGCCGCAUCAGCGGCAACCGAGCCGGCCUAGCCGUGCUCCGCAUCGCCAUGCUGCUCGACCUGCUUGCCCUCAUGGCCGCCUUCGCCGCGGGGAGCUGCCGUGACGUGGUCGCCUCCAUCUACGUCUCCGCGCUCUUCGCCCUCGUCUUCGCCUGCGUCGCCAUCCUCGUGGUCGUGGAGAGACUCUGCAAGGAGCCGCCGGACUCCGGACCUUUCUCGAUCACGGUAGAGAACCUUAACCUCAAAGAGCGGCGCAAGAUGCUGCUGCUGCUCGCCACCUUCGCGACGCCGCUGACGUACGCCGCGGGCCUGGCGCCUCCGGGAGGCUUCUGGAGCGAGAGCGUGGCCGAGCACCACGCCGGCGCGCCGCUGCUGCACGACGGGCGCUACAAGAUCCGCUACCACGCAUUCUUCUACGCCAACGCCAACUCCUUCGUCGCCUCCCUCGUCAUCAUCAUGCUGCUCAUGAGCAGGACGCUGAGCGACCGCCUCACCCGGUACCACGCGCUGUUUGUGUGCGUCAUGGUGGAGCUGCUGGGCCUCAUGGCCGCCUACGCCGCCGGGAGCUGCAGGCGGCCCACCACGACUGUGUACGUCGUGUCCCUCGUCGGCGCCGUGCUCCUCUACAUUGUGCUGGUGCCGGUGUUCACCUUGGAAGCAUUCAGGGGACGGCGGAUAUCUCGGAUCACCACUGAAAGGAGGACAACCCCCGUCCAUGAUGGGCAGGAAGAGAAGCUGGAGCAGUCGCGGUCGCUGGUUCUGCUGAUGGCCACGUUGGCGGCGACGGUGACCUACCAGGCAGGGCUGAGCCCGCCGGGCGGCGUCUGGCCGGAAGGGCAUCCGGAUCACACCGCGGGGAACCCGGUUCUCCAGGACAUGCACCCCACGAGGUACAAGGUGUUCUACCACUGCAACACGGCGGCGUUCGUGGCGUCGGUGGUCGUCAUCAUCAUCGUCCAGAGCAAGGAGCUGAGCGCCGCCGGGCGCUUCGCGCUCAACACGGUCAUGAUACUGGACCUGUUCGGCCUUAUGGGCGCCUACGUCGCCGGGAGCUGCCGGGAUAACACCACCACCAUCUACGUGUCCGCCCUGGCCGUCACCAUCUUUGUCUACAUCAUCGCCAAAGUCGUGGCGUUCGCGAGCGAGCCCACACUGUGGGCGCAAAGAAUGUGGGGUAAGGUUGUACAAGCGUUGCUCCGCCUGUCGCGGCGGCAAGGAGGAGAAGCAACUCAUUCUCCGGCCUCCGAGUCCGAGAGGAAGCGUAUCGAAGAAAAAGCGCUCGAGAGGAGGCGUAAGUUCUUGCUGCAGCUCGCCAUCCUCGCCGCCACCGUCACCUACCAGACCGGACUGAACCCUCCCGGCGGGUUCUGGCCAGAGACAGAGAGCAACGGCGAAAGAUCACUAACCGCCGGCGACCCGGUUCUCCUCGACCACUACGGGAGCAGGUAUGAGGUGUUCUUCUACUGCAACGCCACGGGCUCCAUGGCGUCCCUCGCCGUCAUUCUCAUCCUGGUGAACCAGAAACUAUACAAGAAGAGCAUCCAGAGCAACGCUCUUCACAUGUGCAUCAUCGUUGGGCUGCUCGGCCUCAUGGGUGCCUACGCUGCCGGUAGCUGCCGGCUGCUGCGCACCUCAAUCUAUGUCUUCGCGCUCGUGGCCGCGGUGGUCGCGUUCCUCGUCCUGCAGAUCCUCUUCUGGGUGUACGCCGACUGCCCACAUUUGUCACAGAGGAUAUGCCUGAAGGGGCUGCUCGAGCAGCUGUCGCCGUCGUCGGCACCGAUGGGGGCGGGCGACGAGGGCGAAGGCGACUGGCGUCAACAAGAACGAUACCAACUGCGCAAGUCCCUGAUGCUGCUCGGCAUCCUCGCGGCGAGCGUGACCUACCAGGCGGGUCUCGCGCCUCCCGGCGGCACGUGGGGCGACGAUGAUACGGCGUCCUCCCCGUCGCCGUCGCCGUCGCUUUCACCACCGCCGUCGGCUGCAUACCUGUCCCAUGCCGGCAACCCGAUCCUACUCGACACCAACCCGCAACGGUACCAGGCCUUCUUCUACUGCAACGCGACGUCGUUCGUGGCCUCCGUCGUGGUCAUCAUGCUGGCACUGCAGUACACCCUCAAGGAGCGCUUCGCCCCGCCGUGGGCGAUGCAUAGCCUGCAGACCGUCAUGGUGCUGGACCUGCUCGGCCUGCUGGGCGCCUACGCCGCCGGCAGCUGCAGGGACUGGGAGACGUCCGCGUACGUCAUCGCGCUCGUGGCCGCGGUGGUCGCCUUCAUCACGAUCUGCAUCCUGCUGUCAUUUGACGAAGUGCGAGGGACGGCCGAGGAGCUCGCGGUGUGGAAGUACUUUUCUGGAAAGAAGGAAAAGGUGCUGAAUUGCUUGGGAGCAAGCAAUGAUGAUGAUGAUGAUGAUCAAUCAGCCGCAACCGUAACGGUCACCCGUGUGUAA
rnacentral:rRNA from 1 species